CGCGUAGGCGGCCUGCUAAGUCGAACGUGAAAUCCCCGGGCUCAACCCGGGAACUGCGUCCGAUACUGGCUGGCUUGAAUCCGGGAGAGGGAUGCGGAAUUCCAGGUGUAGCGGUGAAAUGCGUAGAUAUCUGGAGGAACACCGGUGGCGAAGGCGGCAUCCUGGACCGGUAUUGACGCUGAUGCGCGAAAGCCAGGGAGCAAACG
rnacentral:rRNA from 1 species